UUCUUAAAUCGGUAAUAUACAUAUUUGCAAGACAACAAAUGGAAAAAAGAACUAUUGUUGAUAGGUGCAGCCACUGUUGUAGGUUGGAAGUUAGAAAGGUAGGAUACAUAAGGAUAUUUCAUUUAUACGAUAAACAAUAAACGAUUACUGACGAAAGACGUUUCCAAGCGCAGUUCGAUAAUACAUAAUUACAUAAUUUAAAGUGCCGUAAUUUUUUUUAACCUUACAUUCCUACGUUCCUCGAAUCUAUUGAAAUAUUUAUAUUAUGAAAUUUGAAUGUUUUACGCGAUCAUUAAAUGCAUGGACCGAAAUUAAAAGGAAUAAGUACACAAAAUGGUAUCACUUAACACUGAUAAGUAA